rfam:Triticum urartu cultivar G1812 contig474214, whole genome shotgun sequence.
AUAUUACUCCCUUCGUCCGAAAAUACUUGUCGAAGAAAUGGAUAAAGAAUGAUGUAUUUAGAACUAAAAUAUGUCUAGAUACAUCCAUUGCUCCGAUAAGUAUUUUCGGAUGGAGGGGGUACAUU